rnacentral:lncRNA from 1 species
GGCGCCAAAACAUCCAUUCUAUGGAGGACUUAACCCACUGUGUUCUUCUCUCUUGUGGUGGAGGUUAUAUCGAUGGAAGAAUCCUCGGAUAACGUUGGAUACGAGUGGGAGAGAAGAAGAGAGAGCGGGAGGCGGGGUUUAGGGUUUAGGGUUUUGGUUUGGGUGGCGAGGUAACAAAGACACGGCGACUAUUGAUUGUGG